GACGAACGCUGGCGGCGUGCUUAACACAUGCAAGUCGAACGAAGUGGCGAACGGGUGAGUAAUACGUGGGUAACCUGCCCUCCUUUUUGGGAUAAGCCUUGGAAACGGGGUCUAAUACCGAAUAUAGGGGGUUGGGCUAGCGGUUUAUCAGCUUGUUGGGGGGGUGAUGGCCUACCAAGGCGGUGACGGGUAGUCGGCCGGAGAGGGUGACCUGCCACAUUGGGACUGAGAUACGGCCCAGACUCCUACGGGAGGCAGCAGUGGGGGAUAUUGCACAAUGGGCGAAAGCCUGAUGCAGCGACGCCGCGUGAGUGAAGAAGGUUUUCGGAUCGUAAAGCUCUGUUGUUAGAGAGGGAGGAUCUAACCAGGAAGCCACGGCUAACUACGUGCCAGCAGCCGCGGUAAUUC
rnacentral:rRNA from 1 species